AAAACUUUAAUGAUGACAUCUACAUACCCAAUGCAGAAAUAUUAUGUUGAAAUUUACUUAACAUGCAUCACCAUCUGAUUACUAUUUU
rfam:Drosophila ficusphila unplaced genomic scaffold scf7180000454113, whole genome shotgun sequence